rnacentral:lncRNA from 1 species
UUUUUUUUUUUUUGGCUUUUUAGGGCCACACACAUGGCAUAUGGAGGUUCUGUGGCUAGGGGUCCAAUCGGAGCUGUAGCUGCCAGCCUACACCACAGCCACAGCAAUGAGGGAUCCGAGCCGCGUCUGCAACCUACACCACAGCUCACGGCAAUGCUAGAUCCUUAACCCACUGAGCAAGCCAGGGAAAAAUUUUUUUUUCCAAACUUUCUCCCUCAGCUGACCACAGUUUUCAUUCAACUGUGGACGAUUACGAGAGAAAUCCAGGAAAGAAAUUUAUUUAUUGCUCUACAACUUUCAUUAAACUACUUAUUAUACUCAGUACCAGCUAACUCUUCGAAACAAUUUCUCAAAGUUCUUCCAACCUUAUUCCAUUCAAGUAGUCCUAAAACGUUUAUUGAACCAUUGAAUUUUAUUGACUAAAAAUUCCUUUGAGGUACUUGCUAACAUUAUUAUCAUUAGGUAUUAGGAGGAUUAUUGCAAGUUCAUCUUGGUGAGGAUUUGCCAGAUGUAAGCUAUUAUUUUCUCCCAACCUUGUGAAAUCUUUGCUUCAGAACAAAAUCCUUAUAGGCAAUGGGAUCUGCAUUAGGCAGGUACACCUUCUGUAUUGGUGAUAAAAUAAAAGUACACACAUUUCUAAAAAUGUCAUUCAACUUAACAUGGCAGAUGCAAAACAGAUGAAUGUUAUUCUUCUAAGAGAGUGACUGCUAAUCUUGAGAGAUGAACUGAAGCAGGUGAUCCAAGGUAUUUUUGCAUUGACUGUUGUUUUCUUCCCCACACAUUUCAGAAAAAAAUAAAACAGCUUUUAACAUAUAUUACUGAUAAUGAUUGUUUUCAGCACUGUAGUUUGUAACGACAUUUGGAAUUGAUCAACUUUUUUAUUUAUUUAUUUUUUGGGGGUUUUUUUUGAUUGUCUUUUUGCCUUUUCUAGGGCUGCACCCGUGGCAUAUGGAGGUUCCCAGAAAAUUAAAAAACAGAACUACCAUAUCAUCAAGCAAUUCCAUUUCUGGGAAUAUAUCCAAAGGAAACAAAAGCACUAACUCUAAAAGAUAUCUGUGCCCUUUUGUUCACUGCAGCAUUAUUUUCAAUAGCCAAGACAUAGAUACAACCUAAAUAUCCAUCAGUGGAUGAAUGAAUAAAGACAUUGUGGUAUAAACAUAUACAAUGGAGUAUUAUUUAACCAUAAAUAAUGAGAAUUCGUGACAACAUGGAUGGACCUUGGAGGCAUUAUGCUAAGGGAAAUAAGUCAGAGAACAAUAAAUACUGUAUGAUCUCACUAAUAUGUGGAGUUAAAAAAAAUAAAGCUCAUAGAGAAAAGAUAAGCUUUCUGGAUACCAGAUGUGGAGAUGGUGGUGAGGGGGGAACGAGAGGAAGGUAGUCAAAAGGUACAAACUUCCAGUUAUAAGAUAAGUAAGUACUAGGGAGGGAGUGACAACAUGCUGAAGACUGCUAACACUGCCAUAUGCUAUAUAGGAGAAUUGCGAAGAAAGCAAAUUACAAGAGCUCUUAUCACAAGGAGAAUUUUUUUCCUUUCUUAUUUUCUUUUUAUUGUAUCUAUAUGAGAAGAAGGAUGUUAGCUGACACUUUUGGGAUAAUCAUUUCAUAACAUAUAUAAAUCGAAUCACGCUGUACACCUUAAGCUCACACACGAUGCAUGUCAAUUAUUUCUCAAUAAAACUGGAAAGAAGAUAUUUAAAAGCAAUUAAAUAGGAAACCACAUAGUUAACAUAUCAUCCGUACAUUUUUCAGGACCAAGACUUAGAGAAUUAUCAUUGGGGUCAUUAAAACAGGUGCGACUAAAAUGUUUCACAACUGGAAGAAUCAUUAUUUUAAA